rnacentral:rRNA from 1 species
UAAUAGAUAGGGCCAUGGUUUAUUUGUUGGUCAUACUCCCGAGCUAAUGAUAGUAGGGACAGUUGGGGGUAUUGUAUUCAACUGUCGAGUGAUAUUUCUGGACUUAAGAAGACGAAUUACUGCGACAGCAUUUACCAAGGAUGUUUUCAUUAAUCAAGAACGAAAGUAGGGGAUCGAAGAUGAUAGAUACCAUCGUAGUUUAACCAUAAACUAUGCCGAAUAGGGAGUGGUGGGUGUUAUUAGCGACUCCAUCAGCACCUUAUGAGAAAUCAAAGUCUUUGGUUUCCUGGGGGGAGUAUGGUCGCAAAGGCUGAAACUUAAAGAAAUAGACGGAAAGGGCACCACCAGGAGUGGAGCCUGCGGCUUAAUUUGACUCAACACGGGGAAACUUACCAGGUCCAGACAUAGUGAGGAUGACAGAUUGAGAGCUCUUUCUAGAUUAUAUGGGUGGUGGCACAUGGCCCUUCUUAGUUGGUGGAGUGAUUUGUCUGGUUAAUUCCGUUAACGAACGAGACCCCCGCCUGCUAAAUACUCGCCUUAAUGCCUAGCACUGAGGUGUACUUCUUAGAGGGACCUUCGGUGAUUAAUCGAAGGAAGUUGGGGUCAAUAACAGGUUAGUGAUGCCCUUAGAUGUCCUGGCCCGCACGCGCGCUACACUGACACACGCAGCGAGUUUUCCUUGUCCGAAAGGUGUGGGUAAUCUUGUAAAUGUGUGUCGUGAUAGGGAUAGAUUAUUGCAAUUAUUUAUCUUGAACGAGGAAUUCCUAGUAAAUGCGGGUCCUCAGCUCGUGUUGAAUACGUCCCUGCCCUUUGUACACACCGCCCGUCGCACCUACCGAUUGGAUGAUUCGGUGAAACUUUCGGACUGUGAUCAAGACGCUCUCGGGCGACUCGGUCGCGGGAAGUUAUUUAAACCUCAUCUUUUUAGCGGGGCAGGUGAAGGCUUUCUCCCU